rnacentral:rRNA from 1 species
AUGAGACAAAAGAUCCUCUUUCUAAAGAGAUUCGAUUCGGAACUCUUAUAUGUCCAAGGUCAAUAUGGAAAUUCUUUCAGAGGUUUUCCCUUACUUUGUCCGUGUCAACAAACAAUUCGAAAUACUUUCAGAGAAAGGCGAGUGCAAGGAGGGCUAAAAACAGUAUCACAAAGCUAG